GAUGAACGCUAGCUACAGGUUAACACAUGCAAGUCGUGGGGCAUCAUGAUGUAGUAAUACAUUGAUGGCGACCGGCGCACGGGUGAGUAACGCGUAUCCAACCUACCCUCCACUCAAGUAUAGGCUUCCGAAAGGGAGAUUAAUCCUUGAUAUCGUCAUUCUCUCUCCUGUUAGAAUGAUAAAAGGACAUCGUUUCGGUAGAGGAUGGGGAUGCGUUCCAUUAGGUAGUAGGUGGUUUAACAGGCCACCUAGCCGAUGAUGGAUAGGGGUUCUGAGAGGAAUAUCCCCCACACUGGUACUGAGAUACGGACCAGACUCCUACGGGGAGGCAGCAGUGGAGGGAAAUAAUGGUUCAAUGGGGCGCAAGCCCUGAAACCCAAGCCA
rnacentral:rRNA from 1 species